GAUGAAGAACGUAGCGAAAUGCGAUAAGUAAUGUGAAUUGCAGAAUUCAGUGAAUCAUCGAAUCUUUGAACGCACAUUGCGCCCGCCAGUACUCUGGCGGGCAUGCCUGUUCGAGCGUCAUUUCAACCCUCAAGCCCUGCUUGGUGUUGGGGAUCGGCGUUGCCUCCUCCGUCGUUCGCGGCGGGGUGAGGUCGCCGCCCCCGAAAUGAAUUGGCGGUCUCGUCGCAGCUUUCCUUUGCGUAGUAACAUACCACCUCGCAACCAGGAGCGCGGCGCGGCCACUGCCGUAAAACGCCCAACUUUUUCAAGAGUUGACCUCGAAUCAGGUAGGAAUACCCGCUGAACUUAAGCAUAUCAAUAAGCGGAGGA
rnacentral:misc_RNA from 1 species